UGGGAAUAUUGGACAAUGGGCGCAAGCCUGAUCCAGCCAUGCCGCGUGAGUGAUGAAGGCCCUAGGGUUGUAAAGCUCUUUCACCGGUGAAGAUAAUGACGGUAACCGGAGAAGAAGCCCCGGCUAACUUCGUGCCAGCAGCCGCGGUAAUACGAAGGGGGCUAGCGUUGUUCGGAAUUACUGGGCGUAAAGCGCACGUAGGCGGAUACUUAAGUUAGGGGUGAAAUCCCAGGGCUCAACCCUGGAACUG
rnacentral:rRNA from 1 species